GUGUUUUUGGGUUAAUUUGAAACUUUUCUUAUUUUUAACAUAUUUUGACUACAAGUCUGUCAUAUCUUUUUUUUUUUUCCAAUACUGUUUAAAUAAUUAAAUAGCUUAAAUUUUUUCAAAGCUACCAAUCGUCUUGUGCAGUCCGUUUCAUCAAAUUGAUGGAAUAGUGAGAGCCAAUCUCAUUUUGUGCGUCCAUUUUUUUUUAUUUUUGCAGUGUUCUAAUUGGCCACAUUCAAAAUAACAUACUGUUAUUAAUGGCACAAUUAGACUUUGAUAAAGUUAGAAAGCAUAAACAAAUGAUAAUAAAAAUUGAAAAACCAUAUAAGGUCGUGGCAAUCAACUUCACUUGUUAUUUCCACAAGAACACAUCAUAACU
rnacentral:lncRNA from 1 species